GAGACCCACCCCUGUGCCCACUGCAGCCUUGCAGCCCACAGUUCCUUUCAAGGUGCACAAAUUCAAGCACUGGGGCCCUAGUAUUUGAAUAAGAAUUAAGA